rnacentral:rRNA from 1 species
AUUGAACGCUGGCGGAAUGCUUUACACAUGCAAGUCGAACGGUAGAGGGGGCAACCCCUCGAGAGUGGCGAACGGGUGAGUAAUAUAUCGGAACGUGCCCAGUCGUGGGGGAUAACGUAGCGAAAGCUACGCUAAUACCGCAUACGAUCUAUGGAUGAAAGCGGGGGAUCGCAAGACCUCGCGCGAUUGGAGCGGCCGAUAUCAGAUCAGGUAGUUGGUGGGGUAAAGGCCCACCAAGCCAACGAUCUGUAGCUGGUCUGAGAGGACGACCAGCCACACUGGAACUGAGACACGGUCCAGACUCCUACGGGAGGCAGCAGUGGGGAAUUUUGGACAAUGGGCGAAAGCCUGAUCCAGCCAUUCCGCGUGCAGGAUGAAGGCCCUCGGGUUGUAAACUGCUUUUGUACAGAACGAAAAGGUUUCUACUAAUACUAGGAGCUCAUGACGGUACUGUAAGAAUAAGCACCGGCUAACUACGUGCCAGCAGCCGCCGUAA